CACUGAUCAGCUGACAGUGAUGAUACAUUCUGCCACUGAUGACCAGGAAGUGACUAGGAAGAAAUACCCAUCAAUCACUUAUCUGCUAACUUGUGACCUCGCACCCUGGGACUAACAACCGUGACCAGAAUCCUCUUUGGAUGCCUAUAAAAUCCUUGUCAAGACUGAGUAAUUGAUGCAUGUUUCUGGUCUUUGGUAAUGGGACAGUAACAAGACAUAAUUUCAAUCAUGUUCAUCGAAUCCAACAUCUAUCUCGCGUGCUUCUUGGGAUUUGGUGGUUUGAAUUAGUCAAGAUGAAAGACGAAAAUGAUUGAAUGUCCACUACUGACAGUGAUGUUCCAAUGCCUCCUUCGUGGUUUUGAUGUGUCCAAGACAGCUAUAUAGCUCCAUGAAGCUGACCUCCUUGAAAUCCCCAGGAGGACAUCACACCUUUGAGAUCAACAAACCCACCCCUCGAGGCUAACCCCAUGCCACUUGCUUCAUGAAUCGUCGCAGCUAAUAUGAUAUUUCAAUGUUCCAUUGUGAUUGACACUGCGGCCUUUGCUGGAAUCUAACUCCGUUUUCAAGUCAAAGAGCAUCCUCUAAGAUGUGUCAAUCUUGGAUUUGUGGGUGGUCGAGGUGCUGUCUUUGCUUGAUGAAUGCUCCUGGCAAUGCGAUAAUAAAGUUCAUCUGGAAUGUGCCCAUCAGCAUCUGUAUCCGUGCUCUCCUACUCUGGCAGCUGUUGCCUCUGUCACUAUUGACUUGAACGUAGCUAAUCCAAUCUGCAAUUGUUACACAGUAUUAUUGAUUCUGCUGUUUUGUUGUUUUCCUUUUGUGGAGCUGCUGUAGAGAUGUUACUAGUGACUUCUGUCUGCUAGCAGAAGGGUUGCUAUCUCAAGUAUGAGGCGCAUCACAUCUUCAUGGUUAAACAUUAAUUGAACAUCUCGAAUAGAGAGUAGUGACAAUUGUCUCAACAAUUUCAGUCAAGUGUGUAAGAAAAUAUUUCAAAUAUUGUCUGGUUUUGUCUUAGUUGUAGAAUAAUCAAGUACAGAAAGAGGCCAUUCAACCUUUGAGUCUGUGCUGGCUCCUGGUAGGCCAAUCCUCCACUCAUUUCCCUAAUGGCCUGAAUGUUAUCUCCCAACUUCCAACAAAGUUGGAGAAAUUGAAAGGAUUGAUUUAAUUCUGCUUUCCACCAUUCCAAUAGGCAGUGAAUUCCAGGUCCUAAGUAUGUGCUGUAAGUGAAAAUGCUUUUUCAUCACAUACUCCUUUAUUUGCAUUUGAUCUCUAUUUCAUCUUUUAAUGUAACUUAGUUUUUUUUUUGCCUCCUUUUAAUCAAACUUUGGUCACUUGCCCCAUUAUCUCCCUUCACGGCUCUGUAUCAAAAGUUGUACGAGAGUGCUCCCGUGUAGUGCCUUGGGCCAUCUUGUUAUGUCGAGGACACUAUUCGAAUUGAUCAUAGUAAGAGGUUAUAUUUCUGGAUUAGCAAUCCAGAGGCCCAAACCAACGGAAAAAUGGGUUCAAUUUUCCCCAUGGCAACUGGGGAUUUAAACUCAUUUAAUUAAAUGAAUCUGGCAUUGUUCAUGGUUACUAUGGUACUGUUAUUUAAAAACUGAUUCUCCAGUGUCCAUUAAAUAAAAAAAAUUGACUGGACUGUAAGUGCAAGGGAAAAGUUUUUUUUUCCAAUUUACCUUCUGAAAAGGGUGAGGGUAAUUGGGGAUGGAUAAUAAAUGUGAGCCUUGCCAUCAGCACCUGCACUCCAUGAACAAUUUGCAUUAAAAAGAAAUUGAUCUAUCUCCU